AGCGAACGCUGGCGGCAGGCUUAACACAUGCAAGUCGAGCGGGCAUCUUCGGAUGUCAGCGGCAGACGGGUGAGUAACACGUGGGAACGUACCCCUCGGUUCGGAACAACUCUGGGAAACUGGAGCUAAUACCGGAUACGCCCUUAUGGGGAAAGGUUUACUGCCGAAGGAUCGGCCCGCGUCUGAUUAGCUAGUUGGUGGGGUAACGGCCUACCAAGGCGACGAUCAGUAGCUGGUCUGAGAGGAUGAUCAGCCACACUGGGACUGAGGCACGGCCCAGACUCCUACGGGAGGCAGCAGUGGGGAAUAUUGGACAAUGGGCGCAAGCCUGAUCCAGCCAUGCCGCGUGAGUGAUGAAGGCCUUAGGGUUGUAAAGCUCUUUUGUCCGGGACGAUAAUGACGGUACCGGAAGAAUAAGCCCCGGCUAACUUCGUG
rnacentral:rRNA from 1 species